AUACGAAGGGUGCAAGCGUUAAUCGGAAUUACUGGGCGUAAAGCGCGCGUAGGCGGCCAGGUAAGUCGGAUGUGAAAGCCCCGGGCUCAACCUGGGAAUUGCAUUCGAAACUGCCUGGCUAGAGUAUGGUAGAGGGAAGCGGAAUUCCACAUGUAGCGGUGAAAUGCGUAGAUAUGUGGAGGAACACCAGUGGCGAAGGCGGCUUCCUGGACCAAUACUGACGCUGAGGUGCGAAAGCGUGGGGAACAAACAGGAUUAGAAACCCUAGUAGUCC
rnacentral:rRNA from 1 species